AGUGGCGGACGGGUGAGUAACGCGUGAGGAACCUACCUUACAGUGGGGAAUAACAGUUGGAAACGGCUGCUAAUACCGCAUAAUGCAAAGAGACCGCAUGAUCUUUUUGUCAAAGAUUUAUCGCUGUAAGAUGGCCUCGCGUCUGAUUAGCUAGUUGGUGGGGUAAAGGCCCACCAAGGCGACGAUCAGUAGCCGGACUGAGAGGUUGACCGGCCACAUUGGGACUGAGAUACGGCCCAGACUCCUACGGGAGGCAGCAGUGGGGAAUAUUGGGCAAUGGGCGAAAGCCUGACCCAGCAACGCCGCGUGAAGGAAGAAGGCUUUCGGGUUGUAAACUUCUUUUAACAGGGACGAUAAUGACGGUACCUGUUGAAUAAGCUCCGGCUAACUACGUGCCAGCAGCCGCGGUAAUACGUAGGGAGCAAGCGUUAUCCGGAUUUACUGGGUGUAAAGGGCGUGUAGGCGGGACUACAAGUCAGAUGUGAAAAUUAUGGGCUCAACCCAUAACCUGCAUUUGAAACUGUGGUUCUUGAGUGCUGGAGAGGCAAAUGGAACUCCUAGUGUAGCGGUGAAAUGCGUAGAUAUUAGGAAGAACACCAGUGGCGAAGGCGAUUUGCUGGACAGUAACUGACGCUGAUGCGCGAAAGUGUGGGGAGCAAACAGGAUUAGAUACCCUGGUAGUCCACACCGUAAACGAUGGAUACUAGGUGUGGGGGGUCUGACCCCCUCCGUGCCGCAGUUAACACAUUAAGUAUCCCACCUGGGGAGUACGAUCGCAAGGUUGAAA
rnacentral:rRNA from 1 species